AGAGCGAACGCUGGCGGCAUGCUUAACACAUGCAAGUCGCACGGUCAGCAAUGGCAGUGGCGGACGGGUGAGUAACGCGUAGGUAUCUAUCCACGGGUGGGGGACAACGUCGGGAAACUGACGCUAAUACCGCAUGAUACCCGAGGGUCAAAGGCGCAAGUCGCCUGUGGAGGAGCCUGCGUACGAUUAGCUUGUUGGUGGGGUAAAGGCCUACCAAGGCGACGAUCGUUAGCUGGUCUGAGAGGAUGAUCAGCCACAUUGGGACUGAGACACGGCCCAAACUCCUACGGGAGGCAGCAGUGGGAAUAUUGGACAAUGGGCGCAAGCCUGAUCCAGCAAUGCCGCGUGUGUGAAGAAGGUCUUCGGAUUGUAAAGCACGUUUCGGCGGGGACGAUGAUGGACCGGUACCCGCAGAAGAACGCCCGGCUAACUCGCGCCAGCAGCCGC
rnacentral:rRNA from 1 species